GUGCAUGUCAAGUGUGCCUCAGAGUCUUACCCCACCCACGUAUCAAUUUUGAAAACUGCAACAUUAGUAGGCGUUGCCUGGAGGACCGAGAGGGCGGAGCCGUGGCAGUGACGAAGAGACGGCUAACUAGACGAAGCUAGCUCCCUUCACUCUGAGCAGUCAUUAGAAGUGGAGGACGUUUCUCCCCCUCCUUACCCAGACACUCGAGAAGAAAGGGACCAAGUCUAUUUGGAGGAGACAACCGGACAUGAGCCUUAUUGUUUUGAGCUUGUGAGUUGCCUGAAAUUACUGGAACCGACCCAACAGACCCAUCUCUGAACGUGAUCCUCUGGUGUCUGCAGCUGGUCUCCUGCUGAUGUCGUCGGGAUCAGGAACUUCCAGAAGAAUGUGCCUUUCAAUGACUCUUUCCCCCUUAUUUGUUAUAUUAAUUAAAUAAAUCUCAAUUUAUAUA